UCCCAGACCACAGCCAAGAGGGGCUGGAGCCAGUUCACGGGUGCUUCAGGGCCCACAGGCAGGACCCGGGUCUGUAUGCCUGACACCUGAGCUGUGGGCGGGCCUAACUCUGGGUCUGGCUCCAGCUCCCUUGGCAUAUGGUGCCAUGCCAGGACCAAGCCAUAUGGGGCUGAGGCUGAGUUCUCAGGGGUACAGAGCUGCUUCUGGCUCUGUAGCUGGGACCCUCGUCAGCAGCUCCUUUGCCAGGAAAACCUCUCGCCUGGUGCCCGCUUCAUCCUGGAACAGCUAAGAUGGUGUUAAUUCCACGGUAGCAGCAGUUUCCUUGACCACCCCGUGUAAGACUCACAGCCACAAACGGGGGAGCAGGGGCAAUCCUGAGUUGCCACGUUCGCCACUGUCCAUGGUGUAAAUACUCCCGUCCUGGUUCAUUUCAAGCUAACGUUGUGACGUCACCGAACCCAGAGUCGGGAAGAGAUGCAUGUGAUCAGCUCUCCUGAGUAACCCAAACCGGUUCCGGCAAUGAGAUGCCGCUUCACACAUCUCAUCAGCAGAGCACUAAGCCAGACAAUACCGAGGGUUUAAUAUGAAGAUGUGUUAAGUGCUGGUGGGCGUGGAAACUGAUUCAGCCGCUGUGGAGAGCAGGGCGGUAUUAUUUGGUGGGAUGCUGGUAGUCUGCAAUCCAAAAAUGUGUGCGGUUUUCUCUCUGGAGAUGUGUAAACAGAGCUUCUUGCAACGUUGUUGGGAAGAGCCAGAAAGUGGAAGCAACCUAAAUGUCCAUCAAUAGGAAAAUGUAUAAAUAAUCAUGAAACAGUCAUUGAGCGGGAGAAUGCACUACAGCAUUCUUAAAAUUAAUACACUAAUACAUUUAUCAGGAUGGCUAUAUCUUAGAAGGCAUAAUGUGGAAUAAAAAAAUCAAGCUUUAGGAUGUUAUGUGAUGCAUAACAGAGAACUUCUGUAGAAGUUUUAAAUGCAUAAAAUGCUACCCAGUGAUAUGAUACAGAGAUAUAUAUUCACUGAAACAUGAUGAAAAAUUAUUUUAAAUAGAGUAGACAAAUACAUCUGAAAUUUAUGAUAAUAUUGCUCCUGGGGAGAGAGAAAGGAGCUUGAAACUGGGGAUGGAUGUAAAGGGUACUUCAUCUUUAUUAUAUUAUUCUAGCUCCUUUAAAUAUUAAAAAAUAGUGAUUUGAAAUAAAAAUGACAACAUUUUAAUGGUUUAAAUCCUGUAUUCUGACAAAUAGGGCAUUGUACUGGUUACAUUUUUCUUUAUGUUUCUUGAUAUUUCAAAAAGUCCUUCAAAGCAUCAGGGCACAAGCUCUUUAUGACAUGAGAUUAACUCCAUCCCUGUUCACUGGCAAAUCUCACACACCACGUCCUCAGGCAGAGAGCAUGACCAGGUGGGUCCUUUCCUCGCAAGUGAUGUGCCCCCUUCUCCAGGAAGCCCCUCUUGACGUCCUCCUCUGGGCUCCUGGUGGCACUUCAUGAAUGUAGCUUUGGUGACACUUGUCACACUGAUUGUACAGUAAUGUAAUGUUUCCAGCUGGAGCUGGGGUCAUCCCAAAGGUUCUCUUCACAUGUCUGGAUUGGAAAGACUCAAACAGCUUGGAAGUGGGGUGCCUGGGGUUUCUGAGACACUUCUAUCUUUCUAGACAGAUCCACAGAUGAUGAAGAUAGAUCGGUAGAUGCAGAUGGGUAAUGGCUAAGUAGGUAGAUAGAGUGAAGACAGAGAUAGAUGAAUGAAUGAUAAAGAUGGAUGAUAAAUAAAAGACAGAUAGAUAGCCCUUCCAGUAUCCUUGCCUGGGAAAUCUCAUGGGCAGAGUAGCCUGGUGGGCUGUUCCCUGGGGUCGUAGAAGAGUUGGGCACAACUGAGUGACUAGACAGGUGUAAAUGGAAGAUAGAGAUACUGGGGUAUGUUGUAAAUGUGCCAUCUCUUACUCUAGAACCAACUGCUACACACUCAGGAAUUUUGUGAGCUGGUCACCAAACCAUCAGUAACUUGAAAUUGACGGUGAUGAGAGUAUUUCCAUCACAGAAAUAAACUAUACGUCAGGUCUGUUUUUGAGAGGGAGCAAGCUUAUCUGCAUCACUGGGUGUGGAUAAAGAAAUAUUUAUUUUCUCCAUUCUGUGUAAAUAUAUCCAGUUCUCCCAGCUUUGUCCACUGAGCCAAGACGAAAAGGUGAAGGGAGGUAAAACCUCCUCCCACUGCCUUUUAGGGAAUAGUCGCCUCGUCUGCCGAGGGUGGUCACCUCGCCCCCGUGCUCACCGAACCUCUAGCAGCUCCAGAAGGGAGCAGCCGCCUCUGCAGUCAGCUGAGGCCUUGCCACAAAGUCACCCCCUGAUAUCUGUUCAGAGUCAGAGGAAUAGAGAGGAAGUAAUUAUUAUUUACACUUCUAUUGAAAAGGCUUCACUUAAAACUGAAAGGAAACCCCACAAUUGGCAACGAGGUUAAAAAAACAAAAGACACUGAGCAAAAAUAG
ensembl:lncRNA